AUAGGGAAAUAGGAAAACAAACAUUUUAAAGGAAUCAGAGAGUGAGUGCAUAAUUUCAAAGCAAAGUCUUCUCUUGAAUGGUGAUAUGCACUACAGUAUGACCUGGAUCAGUUCCAGGGAUGGCAAUAACUGACUUUAUACUAUGCUGCAAUUUAGAAGGGGGACACGAAACAGGAACCAAUACAUGGUUAAUGCAGAAUACUGGUUGCCUAGAGCUACGAGCUCAGGCUGUAGACAACUGGAUCUUUGAAGAUUUAAUAGGUUCCUCGUUCUCUGUCAGUUGGUUCUUUCAGAAUGCCAAGCCUUAGCUCUGUUCUGCCUCAUACCUACAAUACUUAGCUAUGGAUUUUACAUUAAAGAAAUGUAGUUGGAUUUAAGCUAAUGGACAAUAAAGCAUUAGGGUUAGAGGUGCUGAUACAUGCACAGCUAAACUAGGGUCUGCAAUGAAUUAGCAUUGAAAAUAGAUGGUUUUAUAGUGACACAAGCUGUAUGGCCACGAUGAUGUUCCUAGAAAGGAAAUGUUUAAAUUGUUAACACUUGCCUAGCAUGUUGGAAUGUGAGAAAUAGCAAGAGCAGAAAAAAAAAAAAAGCAAUGUAGACAUGGCUCAAUAGUCAACUUCGAGGUCACGUUUAGUGCUAAAGGUAAAGUUCUUAUUGAAUUGGGAGUUGGACUGAUGAAUAUACAAUCAACUGUAAAAAAAUUCAUGAAUGAGACAGAACAAUUGGCAUUAGAGCAGAUCUGAUGAUCUUUGAAAUGCAUGCCUUACCAAAGAAUGUACUAUUGUUCUGUCUAGACACAGUGACACAGUGUAAUAAAUAAAGACUGACAGCAUCGAUAUGUUUCAUAAAUAUAUAACUGAAAUGUUCAUCAUUUCAAGCCAUUAAUAUUUUCUCAAUUACCUUAGGUAAAGCAGUGUGUCCAUCUUAGAAAAUAAAAUAUACUGAAAAUACCAUUUGCUUCCAGACAAAGAAAUAAUGCCGUUUAUUUCUCAUUUCUCUGAACAUAUUCAUCUUCUUAAGUAAACCCUGGAAGUCUGAACCAGGAGCCAUAGAUAAUUCAUUAGCUUCAGUCCACAAGGCUAUUUUCUUAGAGACUUCUUGUACAUAUAAUAUCCUGCAAAGUUUUUAGAAGAUCGCUUCAAGGGUUUGUUUUUUUUUUUUUCUUGUUCCUCUUUUCCUUGAAAAAUAAAAUAAACUGUGAUGGAUAGCUUGUGAAGCUAUCAGUCAGCAUCACGGAGCUGGUGUACUUCUUUCUAAACAGUUUCUUUGGGGGAUACGCAUAUUUUUUUGUUCAUGAAGCCAGAACCAGCAGAUGGGAGCUGAUCCGCAGUUGUACCUACAGGACUGUGGUGGGUUUUUUUUUUCCAGACUCACAUUUCCCAGGGCCAUGAUGCAGUCAAGGAAACUAAAAAUAUAACAUUGGAGAACAAUUAUUCCCUGUCAGGAAAUCUAUAAAUAUUCUGGGAAAGUAAUAUGAGCUACAUAUCCUGUUCCAGGGAAGAGGUGCGCAGAGUUCUCUUAUGUCCUGACUUGCAGUUCUGUGUGACACAGACACACUUCAGUAUCUUUUUAAAUUACUUAAAAAAAGAAAAAAGAAAAACUUGGAAAAGUACAUAAUUUCUUUGGCUGUGAGAGUCACUAAACACAUGUGAAAAAUAGGACUUCCCUCAUCAUAUCCUGGCACCAUGUCCUUUGGCUGUGCAUUUGCAAGGGCUUGUACUGGAUAGGUGACAGUUAUGCCUGCCUCAUACCUAUGCAGUUUCUCCCCCAAAACCAUGGUCCUACGAAAACAAACCAAAAUGAAAGGGUGCUCUUCAGCAGGACGGGCUCAAUCUCCACAUCUCCCUUGGGAAGGUUGGGAUGUCAGCUAGCACUGGAGCGAGAGGGUAUUGUACAGUUGAUGCGCCUCGGCACGGCUGUGGAUGUGAGCCAGUUUUCCCACUUCUACCAAAUGCCAACUGCUUGAAAUCAGGAACCAUCUUGUCUACCUUUUUGUAUGCAAUUACCAAUAACAGGUCCUGCCACUUGAUGUCACCAAUAUUUCUCUCUAUAAGAAUAAUUUUAUAUUUUAUAAGGUUCAUAUCCAUUACUUAAGAGUCUGUGGAUACAAAUAAGUUAUCAUUUCAAAUAAUGUUUGUUCUUGUUAUGUCAUUUAAAAACUACCUUCUGAAUACCAAAUGUAAUUGCAUUGUCUUUUAUUUAAAUACUGUAGUUUAUAACUCUGAUGAGAUGUGCAUAAAUUAUGAAAAAAUAUUUUAUUGAUUCUAAAAUACAAAGCAAAGGACUCCAACUGUUGAUUUCAAACUUGUGAAUUAAGACUGGGUCCACAAACCACACCAUGAGGAUGCAAGCAGGUUUCUUGUCUGUUCUCAUAAUGAAAUUUUUAGUGAAUGCAGCCAUACCACACUUCCAAGUAGUAGAGGGGAUUCAUACUCCCCCCUUACACCUGCAGGCAACCACUGAGCUCAACAAUGCUCUCAUUGUACCCACAGGAUAUUGGUCCUGGAUUACCACUGAACUUGCAUAGGCAGAGCAACACAAAGGUUGGUCUACUCAGAAGCUUGGGAGAGCCCCCUAAUUCUGAAGAAAGAGACAGAAAACCUCUGGACUUGCCUGAAUAUGUCUCUGUGAAAAUGCAUCUCUUCUACAUAGAUACUUCUCAAACACAUGUGGCUCUUGGGCUUUGGAAUGUGAUUAGUGACACUAGAGAACUGAACUUCAAUUUAUAUUUCACUUUGAUUAUUUAAAUCCACAUGACCACAUGGCUGGUGGUUAUUAUUUUAAGAGUGUGGUAUAAACUAUGUUAUUGCAAGUCUCACACCUAAUUCUUCAUUUGACUGUCAGACACCGCUUUCAGUACUGAGCAACUGCACUGAGUGUUGUCACUAAAAGAGAUUCAAAGAAGUGUAGAAUUUUUCUUUGCAUUUUCAGCAGUGAAUGCUGAUGAAUGGUACUUUCCUGCAACUAUAUCUCCUAUGCUUAGAAACUAGAGAAGCAGAUGCUAGCUUAGAAGAACCGAAAUGGUGGCAUACUGCACUGGAAACUAAGAACUCCCCCAUACCUUUUCCUCAAGAGUUCUUUUGCAAGAUACAAAAUUUAAUGAUUGAAUACAGAUUCUGGCACUUACAGCUGCCAUCCACUGCCACUGAGACACCAUGUUCUCUUAAAUAAAAUUUACAUGAUAAUUUAGAAUAAAGACAACAGCUUCUGGAGGGAUGCCAUUAGGUAGAAGUUGAAAUCCUUGCUUAUCUUAGCUCCCAUCUCAAUACUGGAGAUCUUUUGUAGCAAGUCUAGAGUUUCCAAGGAGCUUGGUUCAUAGAUUUGUGUGCCUUUUCAAUGUAUAUCCAUCCCUUAGUAAAAUCGAAAUUCUCACAAUUGCUCUGUAGUACAGCUUGAGAUCAGGCAUGGUGAUUCCACCAGAGGUUCUUUUAUUGUUGAGAAUAGUUUUUGCUNAUGAGCAUGGGAGAUCUUUCCAUCUUCUGAGAUCUUCUUCAAUUUCCUUCUUCAGAGACUUGAAGUUCUUAUCAUACAGAUCUUUCACUUCCUUAGUUGAUCAAAUAAGGGUAACUAUAAGACAUGACAGGUAUCUUAGUUAGAUUUUCUUAACUGGGAUAAGACUUCAUGACCAAAUGCAAUUUGAAGAGAAAAGGGUUUUUGGUAGUUCACCAUUUAGUAAAGUCAGGACAGAAACUUAAGAUAGAAACCUGGAGGCAAUAUCUCAUGCAGAGGGCCCUGGGGAAAUGCUGCCUAAUGGUUUGCUCAGUCUGCUUUCUUUUAUUCCCUCAAGACCACCUUCCUAAGCUAUGCCCUCUAACAUCAUUCAGUGUUUUAGGGUUUUACUGCUGUGAACAGACACCAUGACCAAGGCAAUUCUUAUAAAGACAACAUUUAAUUGUGGCUGGCUUACAGGUUCAGGGAUUCAGUCCAUUAUCAUUGAGGCAGGAACAUGGCACCAUCCAGGCCAGCAUGGUGCAGAAGGGUCUGAGAGUUCUACAUCUUCAUCUGAAGGCUGUUAGCAGAAUACUUGCUUCCAGACGGCUAGAAUGAGGGUCUUAAAAGCCCACACCCAGAGUGACACACCUAUUCCAACAGGCCUCACCUUCUAAUAAUGCCACUCCCUGGACCAAGCAUAUACAAACUAUCAAAAUCACCAGUCAAGAAAAUUCCCCCCACAGUCUUUCCCAAUGGAAGGUCUGUUGGGGUCAUUCUCUCAAUUGAGGUUUCCUCUUCCCAAAACACUCUAGAUUGUGUCAAGUUGUAUCUAUUAUCAAGAUGACUAAACAAGACAGUGAAGAGAACUCAGGUUCCUCGUGUAGCAGUCACCAUGAAAUGAAGUGCUUCAAAAUUUCAGCUAGAACUGCAAGGAUGCUGGGAGCAUUCUCACUCAGAAACCACGCAUACACAUCUGUCCACAUUAAGCUAUCAUUCAAAACCAGGCAGUGCUUCUCUAUGAAGAAAAUCAUAGAAAUUCAGAGUUAGUCCUUGCUGUCUGUGCAUCUUAUGGAAGUAUUUAUCUCCUACCAUAUCACUUAAGGUACACAACAAGCUGAGGGGAGGGGCAAUCUCACAAACCACAGGUGGCAAACACAGAAAACCUACCAUGUUGCUCAGGAUCACUGGCAUGUGUUCCUCACUCUCCAUCAAAUUCUCAGGAUUUGUACCAUUAGUAUUGGGUUGCAUAUGAUAAUACUCAGUUUGAGGUCUUUAUUCCUAAGCCGCUUCUGAAGCCUUGUCUUGCAGCAUUUAACUGUACUUGUGGAUGUUGUACCUGUCACCCACAAGUGUCCUUCUGUUUUCUGGGUGUCAUCUGAUAUUAGCAUUUAAUACUUUUACACAUUUUAAUAAAUUUCAUCAUAUCCAAAAGUAAUAUGGGCUUUAUUAGGAAGAGAUGUGUACUACUUUGGCUCAUGGCUAUUAAAUAUUCAAAAUGUAUUGAAUGAAAGAAUACAAUAGUUCUUUUUCACUGUCUGCCAAUUUCAUUGAGGCCAAUUUCACUCAUCAGGAACUCAAAGCAUUGAUGUUUGACUUUGCUAGUUGGUUUGCCUUGUCCUACAUAAAACCUUUAGGUGUAUCUUUUAGUACUUGCUCUCUCUAUAUUAAAACUAGCUACACUAGAUGUCCAAUAUUGUUGAAAACACUUUUUCUUAUUUGUGUUGUUUAUAGUCAAUCACAUGAAUUUCUCUUUUGUAUUUGUAAACAUUUUGUUGUUUUUUUUUCUAGCAAACUGAAAAGUUUACAACUCACCCAACAUUUGUUCUCAUUGAUAAAAUAUGUACGAGUGAACUCAGCUUGUUCUUGACUAAAGUUUGAAUUCCAUUUAGUGAGAGACAUUCUCAGAUUUCUACCUUAAUCAUUCAAACAACAACAGUCAGAUACUUUUAUAGGUCUUC
ensembl:processed_transcript Gm28262 predicted gene 28262